rnacentral:tRNA from 1 species
UGGUGUAAAACUCAUGUGGCCGAGUAAUAGGCUUUUAACCUAUAAGCAGUUGGUUCAACUCCAGCUACACCAA